rnacentral:pre_miRNA from 1 species
GCCGGGUGACCCCGGAAAUCCAGAGUGGGUGAGGCCUGUCUGACCGUUUCUAGGCGACCCACUCUUGGUUUCCAUGGUUGCCCUGG